UGCCUAACACAUGCAAGUCGAACGGAAGUAGAAAUACUUAGUGGCGAACGGGUGAGUAACACGUGAGCAACCUGCCGUAUACACAGGGAGUAACAGUUGGAAACGACUGCUAAUACCGGAUAAGACCACACUAUGGCAUCAUAGAGGGGGUCAAAGCGAAUAAAGCGGUAUAAGAUGGGCUCGCGUCCAAUUAGCUAGUUGGUGAGGUAACGGCCCACCAAGGCGACGAUUGGUAGCCGACUUGAGAGAGUGAUCGGCCACACUGGAACUGAGACACGGUCCAGACUCCUACGGGAGGCAGCAGUGGGGAAUAUUGGGCAAUGGAGGAAACUCUUACCCAGCAAAUGCCGCGUGAGUGAUGAAGGUCUUUGGAUUGUAAAGCUCUUUGAUUGGGGACGAAUAAAUGACGGUACCCAAAGAACAAGCCCCGGCUAACUAUGUGCCAGCAGCUGC
rnacentral:rRNA from 1 species